rnacentral:sRNA from 17 species
GUCAACUACCCCACCCUAAAGGGUGGGGCUUGCAAACGGCUACGCGAGACUAAACAGUUAGACUAGGAGGCAAGCAAUUGCAGCAGCGUUACGGGCUACAAGAACGGCAGAGUGUUUCCCUAGUUCUGCCCUCUUCC